CGAACACAUUACGAAGAAAACACCGAUUCCCAUACGAUCGCCGAAAUUAAGCAACAUUGAUCGUAAUCAGUACCUGGAUGAGUGACUGCUUGAGAAUAUCAGGUGCGG